rnacentral:rRNA from 1 species
UUGAGAUGAGUAUUCUCAGGCGCUCGGGUGAUGAGUUGUUAAGGAACUAGGCAAAUUAACCCCGUAACUUCGGGAGAAGGGGUGCCCAUGCAAAUGGGCCGCAGUGAAUAGCGUCAGGCGACUGUUUAACAAAAACACAGGUCUCUGCUAAGUCGAAAACGAUGUAUAGGGGCUGACGCCUGCCCGGUGCCGGAAGGUUAAAGGGAGUGGUUAGCGCAAGCGAAGCUACGAACUGAAGCCCCGGUGAACGGCGGCCGUAACAAUAACGGUCCUAGGGUAGCAAAAUUCCUUGUCGGGUAAGUUCCGACCUGCACGAAUGGCGUAACGAUCUGACGACUGUCUCAACAACUCGCCCGGCGAAUUUGUGGUUCCGGUGAAGACGCCGGAUGCCCGCCACAAGACGGAAAGACCCCGUGCACCUUUACUAUACCCUAUCAGUGAAUUAUGGGUUGGACUGCGCAGGAUAGGUGGGAGGCUUUGAGAUCGGGUUUUUGGACUCGAUGGAGCCAACGGUGAGAUACCACCCUGUGUAAUCUGUGAUUCUAACCUGCUUCCAUGAUCUGGAAGAGGGACACUGGUAGGCGGGUAGUUUGACUGGGGCGGUCGCCUCCUAAAUUGUAACGGAGGCGCUCGAAGCUGCGUUCAGGUGGUUUGGAAAUCCACCGACGAGUGCAAAGGCAUAAACGCGGUUAACUGCGAGACCUACAAGUCAAGCAGGUGGGAAACCAGGACUUAGUGAUCCGGUGGUUCUGUAUGGAAGGGCCAUCGCUCAACGGAUAAAAGGUACGCCGGGGAUAACAGGCUGAUCGGAGUCAAGAGUUCACAUCGACGCUCCGGUUUGGCACCUCGAUGUCGGUUCAUCGCAUCCCGGGGGUGUAGAAGCUCCCAAGGGUUAGGCUGUUCGCCUAUUAAAGCGGUACGUGAACUGGGUUCAGAACGUCGCGAGACAGUUCGGUCCCUAUCUGUGGUGGGCGCAGGAAAUUUGAGGGGGCUUGGCCUUAGUACGAGAGGACCGGGCUGAACGAACCUCUUGUGAUACAGUUGUCACUCCAGUGGCACAGCUGUGUAGCGAAGUUCGGUUAGGAUAAGCGCUGAAUGCAUAUAAGUGCGAAACCUUCCCCAAGAUGAGAUUUCCCAACCGUAAGGUAAUAAGGGCCGUGGAAGACUACCACGUUGAUAGGACGGGUGUGUAAGAGUAGUAAUACUUUGAGCUAACCGUUACUAAUAGCCCGUUCGGCUUGACCAC